rnacentral:rRNA from 1 species
UACGUAGGGUGCGAGCGUUGCCCGGAUUUAUUGGGCGUAACGGGCGCGUAGGCGGCCACGCACGUCCGUUGUGAAAUCGCCCGGCUCAACUGGGCGGGGUCGGCGGAUACGGCGUGGCUGGAGCAAGCUAGGGGGCAAUGGAAUUCCCGGUGUAGUGGUGGAAUGCGUAGAUAUCGGGAGGAACACCAGUGGCGAAGGCGGUUGCCUGGAGCUUUGCUGACGCUGAGGCGCGAAAGCGUGGGGAGCGAUCCGG